rnacentral:rRNA from 1 species
GACGAACGCUGGCGGCGUGCUUAACACAUGCAAGUCGAACGGAAAGGCCCUGCUUUUGUGGGGUGCUCGAGUGGCGAACGGGUGAGUAACACGUGAGUAACCUGCCCUUGACUUUGGGAUAACUUCAGGAAACGGGGGCUAAUACCGGAUAGGAGCUCCUGCUGCAUGGUGGGGGUUGGAAAGUUUCGGCGGUUGGGGAUGGACUCGCGGCUUAUCAGCUUGUUGGUGGGGUAGUGGCUUACCAAGGCUUUGACGGGUAGCCGGCCUGAGAGGGUGACCGGCCACAUUGGGACUGAGAUAUGGCCCAGACUCCUACGGGAGGCAGCAGUGGGGAAUAUUGCACAAUGGGCGGAAGCCUGAUGCAGCAACGCCGCGUGCGGGAUGACGGCCUUCGGGUUGUAAACCGCUUUCGCCUGUGACGAAGCGUGAGUGACGGUAAUGGGUAAAGAAGCACCGGCUAACUACGUG